GAUGAACGCUGGCGGCGUGCUUAACACAUGCAAGUCGAACGGACAGAUUGAAACCUAGUGAUAUCUGCUAGUGGCGGACGGGUGAGUAACGCGUGGGUAACCUGCCUCACACUGGGGGAUAACAGUUAGAAAUGACUGCUAAUACCGCAUAAGCGCACAGCUUCGCAUGAAGCAGUGUGAAAAACUCCGGUGGUGUGAGAUGGACCCGCGUCUGAUUAGCUAGUUGGUGGGGUAACGGCCUACCAAGGCAACGAUCAGUAGCCGGCCUGAGGGGGUGAACGGCCACAUUGGGACUGAGACACGGCCCAA
rnacentral:rRNA from 1 species